GACGAACGCUGGCGGCGUGCUUAACACAUGCAAGUCGAACGGAAAGGCCCUGCUUUUGUGGGGUGCUCGAGUGGCGAACGGGUGAGUAACACGUGAGUAACCUGCCCUUGACUUUGGGAUAACUUCAGGAAACUGGGGCUAAUACCGGAUAGGAGCUCCUGCUGCAUGGUGGGGGUUGGAAAGUUUCGGCGGUUGGGGAUGGACUCGCGGCUUAUCAGCUUGUUGGUGUGGUAGUGGCUUACCAAGGCUUUGACGGGUAGCCGGCCUGAGAGGGUGACCGGCCACAUUGGGACUGAGAUACGGCCCGGACUCCUACGGGAGGCAGCAGUGGGGAAUAUUGCACAAUGGGCGGAAGCCUGAUGCAGCAACGCCGCGUGCGGGAUGACGGCCUUCGGGUUGUAAACCGCUUUCGCCUGUGACGAAGCGUGAGUGACGGUAAUGGGUAAAGAAGCACCGGCUAACUACGUG
rnacentral:rRNA from 1 species